AUGGCUAUUUGCAGGGAGAAGACGACCGCCGCAUCAGGUCUGCCGGACGAGAUGAUGACGGAGUUGUUCCUGCGGCUGCCGGUCAGGUCCCUGCUCCGCUUCCGCGCCGUCUGCCGCUCCUGGGCCGCGACCCUGUCCUCGGAAGAGUUCUGCGCCCUCCACAUGGCCAAGGCCGAUGCCGACUCCGUGCCCAGGCUACUAUUCGUGGCGCCCACGACGGGAUACGACUCCACCGCGGUAUACUCCUGCUCGACUUCCGGGGUGGACACGCUCUUCGCCAUUGAUGAACUGAGGGGCGGCUUUGUCGGUCCGAUGGCCUCGCAGUGCCGUGGCCUCACCCUGCUGUACGACGCAGUGGCGCCGGCCUACUACGUCCUCAACGCGGCUACAAAGGCAAUCACACGGCUGCCGCCCUGCCCGGAUGUGCUGCAGUCCAGCGCCGGCCUCUGCUUCGACUACAGGACAAAGGAGUACAAGGCUGUGAGGCUUUUCACGCACUCGUGCUAUGACGAGCAGCUUGGUAGGUGGAGCCUCCGUGCCAAGUGUGAAAUAUACACUCUUGGAGGCAGCAGGUGGAGGCCGGCUGCUGGAGGGGUGCCAUCCUCGUUUAACAGAGCUACUCAAGCUGCCCUUGCGAAUGCAGCUCUUGACAAACUGACGCCGGUACUAGCAAACGGGUCCCUGCACUGGCUUCUCCUCCCUUUGUUUCAGGACACUUGUCCAGGAGUCUCCAUCAUGUCGUUCUCUGUCACGGAGGAGAGUUUGGGAUGGAUCCGGUCGCCGCCCUUUGUGACGUCAAGAGGGGCACAUUUGGUGGAGCUAGAUGGCCACCUAUGCAUGGCCCGAGACCUUGGUGCUGGUGGCUCAGCUUGGAUGUUGGAGAUCUGGAAGCGGCAGGACUCCACCUCUGGUGCUUGGUCCCUGCACCAUCGCAUCGAUUUGUCAUCAGGAGAUGUUCUUCAGCCUCUGGCUGUUAGAGUGCUCGGUUCAGUUGGCAAUGGUAGGUCGGGGCAGAAGAAGAUAAUCAUUCGAACUUGCCUGCACAAGGUGCACGCCUGCGAUGCUAUGUCCGGAACCCUUGAAACCAUUCUGUCAACUGGGGAUGAUACACAUGCAGCAGGAUGCUAUAAAACUGAGCCUGGGCCUCUAAGGAUGAAUUUAUUCAAGGAGAGUCUUGCUCCGGUCAAAAGAACUAACGCGGAGACAGCAUUAUCAUCUCCUGUGGGUAAGGCCUUCAAGGAAAUCCUACUCCGGCUACCGGCUAAAUCUGUCAUACAGUUCAAGGCUGUGUGCACUCGUUGGUGCAGGUGGGUUGAGGGUGAAUCCUUCAUGCGCUCAUACUUUGUUCACAAGAAUAUGGACAGGCGCCCAAAGUUGAUGCUUGUCGGUAACAAGGGCACCCAAGAAUCAGGCUUCCAGUUCAUUCCACUCAAAAAAUGGCUUUCAGACACUACUACUGGUCAAGGUGCAUGUCUCCAGGCCAAGGUGGUUUGCUCUAAGCCUUGCCAUGGCUUGAACCUGCUGAGCACCGCGGAGAAGGACUAUGUCUACAACCCUUGCACAGGAUACUACAUCACCAUGUACUAUCCACACCCUCAUAUCGAUAAGCCAUGGAAAAUGCCUAACGAUUAUGGGUGUAGGGUACAAGACUCUGCUUUCUCGGUAGGCAAUAAGAAUAUUGGCUUGGGUUUCAAUCCGAGGAUUCAGGAGCAUGUCGCUGUCAUAAUCCUCUACCAGCACAAGGACUUCAUCUCUCGUCGCUACCGCUUGACAUGCUCACUACGGGAAUGUGGCACCGGCUCACGAGAGGGUCUUGGCCCACCGCCACUGCCCCCGAAUGACAUGCCGCCAGCCUAUGUGGAUGGGGUAUUAUACUGGAUGAGUGACCCUUCCUUGUGUCCAACUAAUAAGCAGGCUCUAGUGUCAUUUGACAUUGCCACUGAAGAAUUUGAUGUCAUUCCCUGCCCCUCACACAUAUCAGAAUGGUGCAAUGAAAAACGUAGGCAUGGUUUUGUCGUGGAGCUUCAUGGAAUGUUAUGUGUUGUUCUUGCAGACCCCAUGGCGGACGAGUUAGAAAUAUGGAUAUGGAAGCUGGGGUACGAUCAGUGGGAUAAAGCAUACACUAUAUGUUUGAAAGAAUGGCCUGAUUAUUCUCUUCUUUCGAAUAUUGUGGUACCAAUGUCAAUCGACCCUAGGGAUGGAAAGAUAUUGCUGAGCACCGGGAGGAAGGUCGGUCUGUAUGACCCAGCAGACAGAAAACUUGAGAGAUUGUGUGCGCUUGGUGAGAUGCCUGUAGCCGGUAAUAAUAGUAAGAGGCAACUGCCAGGAGGGUCACGAGAAUUGUGCCUAAGCAAAAGAUCACGUCUGGACCACAACAUCUCUCAACGCAGGGCGCCACCAGAGGAAUACUAUUUGUUGCCGUCUUUGAAUGAAUGUAGCAGCAAGAGGUCUAUAAUAAAGGAUCUAAAUGCAAGAUGCUCUACUACAACUGCACCUCUGUUUCCCAUGUUAUACGAGGAGAGUCUAAUCUCUUAUCCUCGUGCGGGUAAAACGAGGUUGUUAGACUCACUCUAG
rnacentral:rRNA from 1 species